CAACAUUCUCACCCUGAGUCUUCACCAACUCCUCGCUCAGUUCCAGGACCCCGGCACAAGGCAAGCUGGGAAGCCUGAGUGAGGCUGCUUGAUUUCAUCUCCCUUGUUGUCCUCACCCUUUCCUUUACAGUUGUCAAUCUUUCGUUGCCCUGGUGGCUCAGCCUGCCUACCAGUGGAGAGGGCUCAGCUGCCCCAGGGCAAAAGCCUGGAGGCAAUGACAGUUGCUCUUUGAAUGCUCAACUGACUGAGGAAAGGGUCCCGUGGGGGGCGCGAGGCCCCACGACCUUCUGGGACACAACCCCUUUGAGGCCAAGCCUGGGAGGCCGGGCAUGCUGCUCACUGUGUACUGCGUGCGGAGGGACUCCACUGAGAUGACCUUUUCCCUCCAGGUUGACCGGGACUUUGAGCUCCACAACUUCCGCGUGCUCUGCGAGCUGGAGUCUGGCAUCCCUGCGGACGAGACGCACAUUGUCUUUGCAGAGAACUCUCUGGAAGAUAACCACAGAUCUUUGGCAUCCUAUGGCCUGAAAGAUGGUGAUGUAGUCAUUUUAAGACAGAAAGCGAAUGAAAGGGCAGGCUCGCCAGGUCAGUUCACAGGGAUAGACUUCAGCAGUAUAGCAGUGCCGGGCCCAUCAGGGACGUCCCGCUCCCCGCACCAGAUGCAGCCUCCCCUUUCUUCGGGAAAUGUGGUGCAGGUCGCAGAAAGUCCAGCAGCACUCCGAGACAUGUUACUUUCCAACCCUCAUGAAUUGGCUGUGCUCAGGGAGCGCAACCCAUCUCUGGCAGAAGCCCUUUUCAGUGGGGAUCUUGAGGAAUUUACUAGGGUCUUGAUAGAACAACAGGAAGACCAAGCGCUCAGAGAUGAGGAGAGGUUUCGACUCUAUGUCGCUGAUCCCUUUGAUCUUGAAGCACAGGCCAAGAUAGAAGAAGCCAUCAGGCAACAGAACAUUGAGGAAAACAUGUCUAUAGCAAUGGAAGAGGCCCCUGAGAGCUUUGGCCAAGUAGUGAUGCUCUAUAUCAACUGCAAAGUGAAUGGACAUCCUGUGAAAGCCUUUGUUGAUACAGGUGCCCAGAUGACUAUUAUGAGCCAAGCUUGUGCAAUACGAUGUAAUAUAUUGAGACUUGUGGACCGAAGGUGGGCAGGGAUUGCUAAAGGGGUUGGGACCCAGAAGAUUAUUGGUAGGGUACAUCUAGCUCAGGUUCAGAUUGAAGGAGAUUUUCUGGCAUGUUCUUUUUCCAUAAUAGAAGAACAGCCCAUGGAUAUGCUACUGGGCUUGGAUAUGCUCAAGCGACAUCAAUGUAACAUUGACCUCAAGAAAAAUGUACUAGUAAUUGGUACAACAGGCACACACACAGCAUUCCUUCCAGAGAGGGAACUCCCAGAAUGUGCAAGAUUGGCAUACGAUCCAGGACAAGAUGAUCUGCGAAUGGAAGAGAAGCUCUACAAAAAGCUUUAGAGAAUUCAAAAUGUCAGAAGCAAAGAUGCUCAUAGGAUUGUCCCUGGAUCCCCAGAAUGAACUUUUCCACUUCUCAAUCCAAAAAUGAAAAAAAGAAAGAAAAGAAAUUUGGUAUAAUUCAGCUCAAUGAGUAAUCUGGUAAAGGGAUUCAGAGGAUGAAACGAGCACACACAGAAUUCGUUCUCAUCCUCACAUUGGAGCUUCUUUCCCAGAUCAGAGUUAUUGUGACUGAUAGAAGGGUAUACAGAAGUUCACUUUACCAAAUCCUUGCGUAACUACCUACAUUGAUCAUUAAGUCAACAAUCUCUAAGUACAAUCUUUAAUUUCCAGUGUCGAAAACCUAAUAUUGAAGAUGUGUCCUAAAUAACUGUGUGGUGUUUACAUGACUAACUAGCACAUAAGCCAAUUUAUUUACGUCUGUAGAAUAUAAGAAUAAAAAUUAUAUUUCACAAAGUAAAUCUUCUCAGAU